GAUGAACGCUGGCGGCGUGCCUAAUACAUGCAAGUCGAGCGAACGGACGAGAAGCUUGCUUCUCUGAUGUUAGCGGCGGACGGGUGAGUAACACGUGGAUAACCUACCUAUAAGACUGGGAUAACUUCGGGAAACCGUAGCUAAUACCGGAUAAUAUUUUGAACCGCAUGGUUCAAAAGUGAAAGACGGUCUUGCUGUCACUUAUAGAUGGAUCCGCGCUGCAUUAGCUAGUUGGUAAGGAACGGCUUACCAAGGCAACGAUGCAUAGCCGACCUGAGAGGGUGAUCGGCCACACUGGAACUGAGACACGGUCCAGACUCCUACGGGAGGCAGCAGUAGGGAAUCUUCCGCAAUGGGCGAAAGCCUGACGGAGCAACGCCGCGUGAGUGAUGAAGGUCUUCGGAUCGUAAAACUCUGUUAUUAGGGAAGAACAUAUGUGUAAGUAACUGUGCACAUCUUGACGGUACCUAAUCAGAAAGACACGGCUAACUACGUG
rnacentral:rRNA from 1 species